UCACACAGCCUUAGUCAUUUCUUUGUUUUCUUUUUUUUUUUUUUUUUUUUUUUUUUUUGGAUUUUUAAUGUGUUGUUCAAAUUGAAAAAUGAAAUCUUUAAAGGUGCCAAAACCGAAUGAUCCUAUACUUGGAUGCAUCAAGUCCUGAUGAAUAAAAUACGAACCCUAGGGGGAACAAAUCACCAUGUUUCACUGCGUGUCUCUAACACACCUUCCCCUUAUAACACCUUAUUUGUGAGUUUGUCAGCACUAACACUUGUCUGUCUGUCGCAUCAUCGUGUCUGUUGAGCUGUUUCCUUUUCAUGGACGGCUGUAGAACGGAGGAGUUGAUCACAGUUCUUUUUGAAAAUGAAGCAUCGCAGGUUAUUCAAUCAAAUAAGUUACUUAUUUUUUAGUUUGCUUCAUUUUGUCAUUGCAGUCAUUUUGGUUUUCUUCUUUGAAUGUUUUUUUUUUUUCUUUCAACUGUUAUCGCAUGACAGAUUUUCUCGCUGUCAUGAUGAUGUCCGCAACAACUUGCUCUGUUUACUGAUGACGAACCAACGAGAUGCGACCAACAGUUCCGGACAAACUAGUGAGUUGACGCCGAGUGAAGAGUGUGAUUACUUUUCACCCUCAAAAUGUAGCUGCGUCCAAUAAAACAUUUUCAUUCUUACUCCUCAAAAAUCAGCCCAUCACGUCUCAGUGCCGUCGUGGGCAAACAAGUUCGCCCAGAAAAUACAAGUUCAGUUUUUAUCUGCUCCCCACCAUGCCAAUGGAAAGUCAGGUGAAGUUUCGUAGUCCAGAAUUCAGACAUGAAUUGAGAUUGUAGAAAUGUUUGCAAAUCAAAGGACUGUUCGGGGAUUGAGUUUAGAAUAAGGCUCGUCAGAUAGCUGAAACAUGACUGGAGAUCUUCCAGAGGGUUCCUUUCAGACGGCAGAUGCUUGCGGGUGCUAUGAGUUAUGAUUUCUGCGGCUUUCCAAAACCAACAAUCCAACGCUGCCACCCGCUUCACAAAGCGACUGGUUGGGUGUGCGGAGGUAUUAAAGUAAGAAAGGUUUCGACUUUGUUCUCAACAAGCUCUCUCUUUUCAGCGUUUGCACAAAUAUGUCUGUCACUUUUUUCUACGCGUACAUGACUCCAACGCUCUGAAUGCCACCCAGGAGAGGUUGAAACUGUGCGCUGGUAUCCCCAUUAUUUAAUGAUUCAGUGCAUCUCAACCGUCUGUGUCACUGCCGGCUUUUAAUCCUGUCAAAGCUGCUCAAAGCAGGUUUUGCUUUUCAGAGUGGUUGGGCAACAUGUCAUACGAACUUAUUCUUUUUGAGAAUGCGGGGUAUGCAUGAGUAUAACUGGUGUGUGCAAGGUGUAUGGUCGUGCAAACGUCUUGAUAUGUGUUACGAAGGUGGUGCCAAACACCAGCCAGGUAUUCACGGUGUUGCACUCAAUUGUACGUAGAUGUAGUUGUGUAAAGAAUGAGAAACAAUUUAAAAUCUUGCGCCCCCAGUGCCGACUUUCUCACCUCCAGUCGUUUGCUAUGUACAGUUACCUUUGCCGGUUAGAUUGUAACUUUUGGGAAAGUUUGUCAGACACAAUCUCUCAAAUUCUAAUGUCAGAAAAAGGGUGUCACUGAAGAGUGAUUCACGUACUACAGAAGGAUUCAACAAUCACUUUGAAGCAUAUCCAUGUUUUUAAUUUAAAGGAUAGGGAAAGCAUUAUAUUACUAAGUGUGUUUGUGUUCUUCUAUCUCAGAUAGCAUAGACACGAAACAAAGAUAUAUUUUCAGAAACAGGCUCUACAAUGGCCCUUUUUUUUCCGACACUGAAUGAUAUCACCACAGAAUAUUGGCACCAGCCUUCAUACAUCAGCCUUUAUACAGCCAUAAAAAAUAAAAGCUGAGUUGUCAGACAUAAAACCCUGUGUGCUCUGCUAAAACCACAGCCUCUGCCUGCCGUUGUAAAAUGGUGAUAACACGCUGUAAUCUACUACUGGGAGUCACAAUCCAAAGAUAUCAGAAACUGGCCCUCAAAUGCCCGACAAACUCCAGUGGCGACAUCAGUGUGUGUGCGUGUAAGUGGAUUAAUAGAGUCAGAAAACUCUCCCUGCAACUUCCUGCCAAUUAUAGAAGCAUAAGACCGAGUUUGAUGUAUGUAUCAAUACCAGGUUUUCACAGUAAAUUCUCAUGGUAAACUACUGUAAUUAUGCUUUUGCAAUGCAUGGUGGGUAAUUAUUUGGAAUAUUGUAACACUACUAAGGAAAUACUGUAUUUAGGAUUAAGCCCCAUCCAGUAAAUGAGCGAUCAGAAUGUUGCAGUUUUAUAACAAGACGCAGAUGCUAAUAUGCCAAAAAGCUAACAACAUGCUACGAGUCUAACAUGCUAACAACAGGCUAACAGGUCUACAAGUGGUCCACCAGUGUACACAUGCUAACAACAGGCUCACAUGCUAAAAUGCUUACAUCUGGCUUAAAGGCCUACAAGUGGUCCAACAAAGGAAUACAUGCUAACAUGCUCACCUACUAACAACAGGCCUAGAAGUUGUCCAAGAAGGUACUCGUGCCAACAGGCCGAAAGGCUAGCAUGCUAACAAGCAACUGGGUUAACAUCCCUGCUGGAAAACCCAGCAUUGACCAGCACCAAAACACAACAUAUGCUGGUCUUGCUAGUGACUGGUCACCAACAAGACCAGCUGGUUUUGGUGCUGGUCUAUGCUGGGUUUUCCAGCAGGGAGUACAUUGCUGUAACAUCACUGUGCAACUGCAGAUUCCUACAACAGGAUGGCAGUUUUGACUCUUGCUGCGCAGGUAUUUUACUCACCAGUGGGACUCAGCCAUGGCAUCUCUCUAGGACAUUCCUGAGAAAGAAACACAGGUUGAUUCACUGUGCAGGUGUGGGAUGAAGAAGCCAACCCUCCUCCUCCUCCUCCUCCUCCUCUUCCUCUGGCUGCUCACAGAGGGAGGUGGUAUCCAGAGGAAGCGAGGCAUGCCCUUGAAGAGUCAAACCUGUUCUUUUUUUCUUUUCUUUUUUUUUUUGGCAGGCUAACAGAGUUGGACACUGCACCGUGAUGUCAGGGAGGGUCACGGCGAGCGCUCCAGUGCUAAUACUAAUGAUAUUAGCGCUGUAGGUCUCUGAACUAAUGAUGGCUACACCCACAGCUGCACCAUACAGCCAGAGCAUGGCCCCAUAACGCUCGGAGGCCAGAU